UGGAAGUAAAAAGUGUAACAAGGUUUUGCUACGUAGCAGAUAUCAGGAUCCUUCUGAAAUAUCUACGGAAGCCUUUGCAGGGCGCGCCGCGCCCUCCCCACGACUAUAAAGAUUUGGGGUUAUGCAAGUCAGUUUCGGCUGGCGACACAACUAAAUUACGGGGACUCCCCCAGCCAACCUACCCGGUGGUCACCUACCCGGAGGUCGCGGCUGAGGACGAUCCGAAGCACUAUUAUUGUGUUCACAGACUAAAUAGUUGUGGGUUCAGCGAUCACAGCACGCUGGGCUUAAGAUAUAGUCGGGCUCUGCGGGUAAACGCAGGGAGCUUAUACCGUUCCGUAGGUGAACCUGCGGAAGGAUCAUUA
rnacentral:rRNA from 1 species